GAGGAGUGUUGCAUUCAACUUGGAGUGAAUUUAUGGGAGUUGUUCUCAUUGCCCCAGUGAUAAGUCGAAGACUAUGAUUUUGAAUGACAUCCAAUUUGUGAAGCAGUUGGUUAUUUGAAGCAAAACAAAAGAAACUGUAUUCAAAGUGGCUACAAACAAGAGAUUUGUAUAGAGUUAAAAGAAUUUUAGGAUCAGAGCCCCAGUAUGUUCCAGCAAGAGACCUCAAAAUAUUCAGUGCCUUUGUAGCUCUGUCAGUUACACAAUCAACAUAUUUACCCCGGGAUACAUUGUUAAGAAACAACACACCCAAGAACUUAGCUUCGGUUACAGCUGGGAGUUCUGUAUUAUCAUAAUAUAAUUUGACCUGAAAAGGCCUUCCUUUAUUGUAUACUAAUACUUUGGAUUUCUCUAUACUUAUGUCUAAGGCAAGAUAAUUAAAAUAGGCAGACCAAUGGAAACAAGCUCUGAAGACAGAAUAUGAUGAUUUACGUUAUUGAAAGCCCCUACUACAUCAAAAAAUACACUGGCCAAAACAUUAUUGGAUUUGAAUGCUUGAAAGAUGUCCAAAUGUAAAUGGGCAAUACUCUCUCUAGAAGAUCUGCCCUUUCUAAACCCAAAUUGAUUAGAAGAUGAUAUUGCUGACAUUAAUUCGGCAAAUGAAAAUGGUUCCAAAAAGUAUCUGUGAUUAGGGCAAGACCAAUCUUGAUUGUCAAAGUGGGAUGCUGGCUCAACAGUAUCUGGAGUGUAUUUUUUGAGGAAAUGAAUAAUCCAAUCAUAUUUGUUA